AAAAAAAACAAGCAGUAUACAAUCAAGAUAAAAUCAUCGAAUAAAACAAGUUGUUAGCUUUUUGCUUUCACAACGACAGCAACAAGAAUAAGAUAAAAAAUCCUUUACGAUCUAAGUGAUAAAAAAACAUGCCAAAAUGAUAUGAAUGGCUUGUUGAAACUGGCAUUUCUUAACGAGAAGAAUAUUAUUAACAUAUAACAAUAAUAUAUGGAUAUUAACAAUAUCGAAAAUGCCAGCAUUAAAUCCAAAGAAAUAUCAGAGAACGAAAGAAGCGAUUGUUAAAUGAAAAUCCCCAUAGAAAUUGUCCAAUUUGGAACUUUAGAAAAAGGGCCUGUAAGCAGCGAAUUGGAAGAAUAUUUGUCAAGUAAUAUCAUCGGGAAAUUCAGCUGUUUUCUUUAAAAAUUAAAUACAAGGCGCCUGAAUUAUUUGUCCUUCGAAUGACAAGGCAUUUUUCAGAUAAAGUUAUCAGCCAAUGUACAAUAUAUUGGAUCAUAAAAAUAAGAGCAGUCGAUAGCUUGUUUGAAUUUUACUUACGUAUUUACAAGACACCGUGUAAAUAACCGUUAAACAGAAUUAUCUAAGCGAGGAAGGCAAUUAUUUCUGAAGAUCAACGAGUUCGUUAGAUAAAUUUAUCCUCCUCAUUGCGAAUCACACAGACGUUCAAUGUUAGUAGAAAAUUUGAAGAA
rnacentral:lncRNA from 1 species